GUAGGGUGCGAGCGUUAAUCGGAAUUACUGGGCGUAAAGCGUGCGCAGGCGGUUUUGUAAGCCAGAUGUGAAAUCCCCGGGCUUAACCUGGGAAUGGCAUUUGGGACUGCAAGGCUUGAGUAUGGCAGAGGGGACUAGAAUUCCUGGUGUAGCAGUGAAAUGCGUAGAUAUCAGGAGGAAUACCGAUGGCGAAGGCAGGUCCCUGGGUUAAUACUGACGCUCAUGCACGAAAGCGUGGGGAGCAAACAGGAUUAGAUACCCUGGUAGUCCACGCCCUAAACUAUGUCAACUGGUUGUUGGGGGUUUGACACUCUCAGUAACGAAGCUAACGCGUGAAGUUGACCGCCUGGGGAGUACGGCCGCAAGGUUA
rnacentral:rRNA from 1 species